AUUGAACGCUGGCGGCGGGCCUAACACAUGCAAGUCGAGCGAGCGGCGGACGGGUGAGUAAUGUAUGGGGAUCUGCCCGAUAGAGGGGGCUAACUACUGGAAACGGUGGCUAAUACCGCAUACUAUCGGAUGGACCCAUGGGGGAGUAGCUAGUAGGUGGGGUAAAGGCUCACAUAGGCGACGAUGUCUAGCGGGCCUGAGAGGAUGAUCAGCCACACUGGGACUGAGACACGGCCCAGACUCCUACGGGAGGCAGCAGUGGGGAAUAUUGCGCAAUGGGCGCAAGUCUGAUCCAGCCAUGCCGCGUGUAUGAAGAAGGCUUUCGGGUCGUAAAGCUCUUUCAGCGGGGAGGCGGUACCCGCAGAAGAAGCACCGGCUAACUCCGUGCCAGCAGCCGCGGUAAUAC
rnacentral:rRNA from 1 species